rnacentral:ncRNA from 1 species
ACAUAUGAUAGAUCGAAUAAAUGAAUAUUUAUGUGGAUAUGGGUCAUAACCUUGAGAGGAAAAUCUAACCUCAAAAACGUGACCUCUGUUUGGAUUGCAGGUUGAAACUCGUCUGCAUGAAGUCAGAAUCACUAGUAAUCGUCAGUCAACCAUAGAGCGAUGAAUCCAUUCU